AAAUCCUUCGAUUUGUUUGGAAAAGAGACCUAGCAAAGUCUCCUCUGAUCUUUCAACAUGGGAGAUUUCAACAAUGCCUUCAUGCGCAACCAAAACGCCGCCGCGUUCAGGCCGGCGUUAAACCCCCUCAGAACCGCGCCAAUAUACAACGCUCAAGCUGAUUGGGCAAAGUCAUCCUACUGGUUUAACGGCCAAUCUCUUGAGGCUCUUUGAACCACGACCUCCGUUGGAGUUUAAACCCCUCAUGAGAAGAGAAAAUGCCUUCCGUACACAGGGAUGGCACAGCG